UACAGAGGUCUCAAGCGUUGUUCGGAUUCAUUGGGCGUAAAGGGUGUGUAGGUGGCGCGCUAAGUCGGGUGUGAAAUUUCGGAGCUUAACUCCGAAACUGCAUUCGAUACUGGCGUGCUUGAGGACUGGAGAGGAGACUGGAAUUCAUGGUGUAGCAGUGAAAUGCGUAGAUAUCAAGAGGAACACCUGCGGCGAAGGCGGGUUGCUGGGCUGACACUGACGCUGAGGCGCGAAAGCUAGGGGAGCGAACGGG
rnacentral:rRNA from 1 species